rnacentral:rRNA from 1 species
CACGUAGGGCGCGAGCGUUGUCCGGAAUUAUUGGGCGUAAAGAGCUCGUAGGCGGCCUGUUGCGUCCGCUGUGAAAGCCCGGGGCUUAACCCCGGGUCGGCAGUGGAUACGGGCAGGCUAGAGGUAGGUAGGGGAGAAUGGAAUUCCCGGUGUAGCGGUGGAAUGCGUAGAGAUCGGGAGGAACACCAGUGGCGAAGGCGGUGGCCUGGACCGAUGCUGACGCUGAGGCGCGAAAGCGUGGGGAGCGAUCCGG